GGAUGUCACAUUCGUAGGAAGAGAGAGAAGUCUUGGACCAUGUGUGUAAUUCGAGCGUGGGACUGUGCAAUUCUCGGAUUGGGAAAGGGAGGAGUGGAAAUAACCCCGGCAGUGCCAGGCUUGCUGGUGGUCAGGAACAGAUGAUUCCAGCCCUGUGCUGAUCGCCUGCCUUCCUCCUGCCAUUCAGAAUGCUGCUGUCUCGUGUACUUACUGUUAAGGAUCCUGGAAAAGGGAGUGGUUCCUCCUAGCUGCAAACAAGGGCGCUACUUUUCUUUUCUCUUUAAUAGAAUUACGUUUUAUAGGUGUGUCUAGGCAACACAAGGGAAUGUGAAAGACUUUCAGAGGGAAUGUUUGUGAAUACAUCUGGUGUGUACUAAAAAGCUGGAAAACCCCUAAGUAAAUGCAAUAUCGAUAGAAAGCGAGUUUCUUGAAGAGUCAUCUGCUAAACUCCACUAGAGUCAUCUCUACAGAUGCAACUGACUCACUUAAAAUAGCUGUGUGGAUAUAGAACUUUUAUCAACUACUAUUUACUAAAUUAUAUUGGUGUGUUUGUCCUCAUCUUAGAAUAGCAUAUCAAUAGAUGCUAUAAAAACAUAAGAGGGUGUGGUUAAGAGAAAAAAAAAUUGCCAUUAAGGAAUCAGCAAAUAGGAUGUCUGAAGUGAGGAUAUAGCACCUAUCUCUGAGAUUAAAGUCAUCUGAUCAAAAAUGAUGCCUCUGAGACUAUAACAAAGGAAUGAAUAAUGAAAUAUAAGAAUGGGGAUUCUGCACUAACUCUAUGGGGAAGAAAACAAUGGUAAGAGCAAAAGGAUCAACAGCAGCAACUCCUGUUUCCAUCGAUUUGUUUAUAAGAUGCCGUCUACAUUAUUCCAAAAUAUCCCAGCCUUUUUCUCCCCUGUCAAGCUUCCCUGUCUCUAAAAGAGAUCUUGCUCUUCCUGCACAGAAAGAAAUAAUAAUAUAUCACUGAAAUAUUAUUAUUACAUUUAAAGUUACUUACACUCUUUCCCAUUCCUAUAAUUUCCUAGUUGGAAGCCCUCGCACUUGGGAAAUUAUUUAAUGUGAUUUUUUCUCCCUGACAUAUAAAUUGUCACAUCACCUUAAAUGUUGGGACUUCAGGUUGGGAAGUGGGUGGAUAAUAUUCUUGAGGAAGCUGCCUUCCUUUUAUAGAUAAUGUUACCUCCUUGUAAAGGUUGCUUUCUAUGUAUUAUUCUACUUUUUUUCUAAGAAUAUACCAUAUAAUGAAAACUUUACAGGCUUGACAUCCUAUUACUAAGAUUAUAAUUGUUGAGGUCUUCAAUAGAAUUUCAAGUCAAAUAUGUUGUGCUAUAUGCCUACUUACAUUUCACUCUUUGAUUCACCUAGUUAGGAUCUCAGAAUUGAACUUUAAUUGCAGAUUUAUUACUUCUUUACUCUCUUCAUGUAUUAAUUUAAAAUUUACUUUUUCCUACCUUCAUCUUGGUUUGAGAAGGUUAUUUCCCUUUCAUUUGAUUUAUUUGUUUUAAUUUACAUGUGCAUAUUUAUUACCUGUAUAUAAGCAAAAUUUAUAGAAGAGGAUAGUAUGAGUUAAUAAAUAAGUAUAUUAUCAGGAUAUUUUCUUUAUAUUUAAUAUAUGUUGUAAUUAAAAUGCACUGUUUAGCUGAACUGUGCCUCCUGGAAACUGUAGCAUUUAAAGACAGCACUAUGUGAAAUAUAAAAUUAUGUUUUUUUUC
ensembl:lncRNA MIR4500HG MIR4500 host gene